rnacentral:rRNA from 1 species
AUGAGUAGGGCGGGACACGUGGUAUCCUGUCUGAAUAUGGGGGGACCAUCCUCCAAGGCUAAAUACUCCUGACUGACCGAUAGUGAACCAGUACCGUGAGGGAAAGGCGAAAAGAACCCCGGCGAGGGGAGUGAAAAAGAACCUGAAACCGUGUACGUACAAGCAGUGGGAGCCUCUUUAUGGGGUGACUGCGUACCUUUUGUAUAAUGGGUCAGCGACUUAUAUUCUGUAGCAAGGUUAACCGAAUAGGGGAGCCGAAGGGAAACCGAGUCUUAACUGGGCGUUAAGUUGCAGGGUAUAGACCCGAAACCCGGUGAUCUAGCCAUGGGCAGGUUGAAGGUUGGGUAACACUAACUGGAGGACCGAACCGACUAAUGUUGAAAAAUUAGCGGAUGACUUGUGGCUGGGGGUGAAAGGCCAAUCAAACCGGGAGAUAGCUGGUUCUCCCCGAAAGCUAUUUAGGUAGCGCCUCGUGAAUUCAUCUCCGGGGGUAGAGCACUGUUUCGGCAAGGGGGUCAUCCCGACUUACCAACCCGAUGCAAACUGCGAAUACCGGAGAAUGUUAUCACGGGAGACACACGGCGGGUGCUAACGUCCGUCGUGAAGAGGGAAACAACCCAGACCGCCAGCUAAGGUCCCAAAGUCAUGGUUAAGUGGGAAACGAUGUGGGAAGGCCCAGACAGCCAGGAUGUUGGCUUAGAAGCAGCCAUCAUUUAAAGAAAGCGUAAUAGCUCACUGGUCGAGUCGGCCUGCGCGGAAGAUGUAACGGGGCUAAACCAUGCACCGAAGCUGCGGCAGCGACACUAAGUGUUGUUGGGUAGGGGAGCGUUCUGUAAGCCUGUGAAGGUGUACUGUGAGGUAUGCUGGAGGUAUCAGAAGUGCGAAUGCUGACAUAAGUAACGAUAAAGCGGGUGAAAAGCCCGCUCGCCGGAAGACCAAGGGUUCCUGUCCAACGUUAAUCGGGGCAGGGUGAGUCGACCCCUAAGGCGAGGCCGAAAGGCGUAGUCGAUGGGAAACAGGUUAAUAUUCCUGUACUUGGUGUUACUGCGAAGGGGGGACGGAGAAGGCUAUGUUGGCCGGGCGACGGUUGUCCCGGUUUAAGCGUGUAGGCUGGUUUUCCAGGCAAAUCCGGAAAAUCAAGGCUGAGGCGUGAUGACGAGGCACUACGGUGCUGAAGCAACAAAUGCCCUGCUUCCAGGAAAAGCCUCUAAGCAUCAGGUAACAUCAAAUCGUACCCCAAACCGACACAGGUGGUCAGGUAGAGAAUACCAAGGCGCUUGAGAGAACUCGGGUGAAGGAACUAGGCAAAAUGGUGCCGUAACUUCGGGAGAAGGCACGCUGAUAUGUAGGUGAAGCGACUUGCUCGUGGAGCUGAAAUCAGUCGAAGAUACCAGCUGGCUGCAACUGUUUAUUAAAAACACAGCACUGUGCAAACACGAAAGUGGACGUAUACGGUGUGACGCCUGCCCGGUGCCGGAAGGUUAAUUGAUGGGGUUAGCGCAAGCGAAGCUCUUGAUCGAAGCCCCGGUAAACGGCGGCCGUAACUAUAACGGUCCUAAGGUAGCGAAAUUCCUUGUCGGGUAAGUUCCGACCUGCACGAAUGGCGUAAUGAUGGCCAGGCUGUCUCCACCCGAGACUCAGUGAAAUUGAACUCGCUGUGAAGAUGCAGUGUACCCGCGGCAAGACGGAAAGACCCCGUGAACCUUUACUAUAGCUUGACACUGAACAUUGAGCCUUGAUGUGUAGGAUAGGUGGGAGGCUUUGAAGUGUGGACGCCAGUCUGCAUGGAGCCGACCUUGAAAUACCACCCUUUAAUGUUUGAUGUUCUAACGUUGGCCCCUGAUCGGGGUUGCGGACAGUGUCUGGUGGGUAGUUUGACUGGGGCGGUCUCCUCCUAAAGAGUAACGGAGGAGCACGAAGGUUGGCUAAUCCUGGUCGGACAUCAGGAGGUUAGUGCAAUGGCAUAAGCCAGCUUGACUGCGAGCGUGACGGCGCGAGCAGGUGCGAAAGCAGGUCAUAGUGAUCCGGUGGUUCUGAAUGGAAGGGCCAUCGCUCAACGGAUAAAAGGUACUCCGGGGAUAACAGGCUGAUACCGCCCAAGAGUUCAUAUCGACGGCGGUGUUUGGCACCUCGAUGUCGGCUCAUCACAUCCUGGGGCUGAAGUAGGUCCCAAGGGUAUGGCUGUUCGCCAUUUAAAGUGGUACGCGAGCUGGGUUUAGAACGUCGUGAGACAGUUCGGUCCCUAUCUGCCGUGGGCGCUGGAGAACUGAGGGGGGCUGCUCCUAGUACGAGAGGACCGGAGUGGACGCAUCACUGGUGUUCGGGUUGUCAUGCCAAUGGCACUGCCCGGUAGCUAAAUGCGGAAGAGAUAAGUGCUGAAAGCAUCUAAGCACGAAACUUGC